AUUGAACGCUGGCGGCAGGCCUAACACAUGCAAGUCGAGCGGAUGAAGGGAGCUUGCGCCUGGAUUCAGCGGCGGACGGGUGAGUAAUGCCUAGGAAUCUGCCUGGUAGGGGGGGAUAACGUCCGGAAACGGGCGCUAAUACCGCAUACGUCCUGAGGGAGAAAGAGGGGGAGCUUCGGACAUCACGCUAUCAGAUGAGCCUAGGUCGGAUUAGCUAGCUGGUGGGGUAAAGGCCUACCAAGGCGACGAUCCGUGACUGGUCUGAGAGGGUGGUUAGUCACCCUGGAACUGAGACACGGUCCAGACUCCUACGGGAGGCAGCAGUGGGGAAUAUUGGACAAUGGGCGAAAGCCUGAUCCAGCCAGGCCGCGUGUGUGAAGAAGGUCUUCGGAUUGUAAAGCAGUUUAAGUUGGGAGGAAGGGCAGUAAGUUAAUACCUUGCUGUUUUGACGUUACCAACAGAAUAAGCACCGGCUAACUUCGUG
rnacentral:rRNA from 1 species